GCCUGGGUGGCUCAGUGGGUUGAGCGUCCGACUUCUGCUCAGGUCAUGAUCUCACCACUUGUGAGUUCGAGCCCCACGUCAGGCU
rnacentral:tRNA from 1 species